CCCAGACCCAGGGUGAGGGAGCAGAGUCUCUACUGUAGGGGGAGGUUGAAUGGAGAACCUUGAUUUAGAGGGAAGAAAAUUCCCAGUUUUUCUUUUGCUGAGGCUGAAGGAGAACAGAAGCUCAUCGGGCUGGCUACCACUGUAGCCAUAAAAAGGGAGUGGUAGUCAAUAUUUUCAGCUUUGCAGGCUCUCCAGGCUCUGUGUCAGCCAUUCACCUCUGACUUCAUAGACCGAAUGCAGUCAUAGACAUAGGGACAGGAAGUGGCUUCUUUUUCAGUCGCCUGUGGGCGUUUCCUUUGCCUGGAGGAGUGUGUGGCAUCAUCCAGGCUGAGCGUUGCUGAAAUCCCUCACCAUGCUUGACACAAGUGGCAAUAACGCCACAGUAACAUCUGCCUGGGUUCUGGCAUCUAGCAAGAGUGGGAUCGAAUCCCAGCUCUGCCACUUUAGCCAUGUGACCUUACAAUAUAAGCCUCAGUUUCCAUGUCUGUAAAAUGGGAACAGCAAUAUUUCCCAAUUCUUAGGGCUUUUGUGAGGAUUAGAGUUAAUGCUUAUAAAAUGUUUAGUACGAUGGUUGGCACCUAAAGUUCAGUGUCAAUACAUGGUAAUUUUAUUUA